CACCUCUCUCUCUCUCUCUCUCUCUCUAACAAAACAUCGGCUUCCCCUGGUUUCAUCUCACCACCCUCUUGCUCCUCCCUCUCUUUUUCUCUCUAGGGUUUCUCUCUCAUCACUCAUCACAAACACCAUCAUCGCUCUGUUACCCAGAUAGAAGCCUUCAUCUGCAUCAGUAUAUGUGAUUGAAUAUUUGAUGUGUGUGUAGGUUUUGUAUGUAAAUGCAAUGGCAACCGCACCUGUGAAGUCGCAGCCUCUUCACAACUUCUCUCUCUCCUUCCUCAAGUGGGGAACCCAUUCCACCACAACUGCUACCGCUACUUCAUCGCCCAACUCCCAACGCCGCCAAUCGGAACCAGACCCAGACUCCGAUUCUGACCGCGCUCAUCUCUCCGCCGUCAGGACUUCGCGAGUGGGAUCCCGCUCUACCCGCGUCCACCGCUUUUCGUUCUCCUCUCUUACUCCAUCUUCUUCCUCCGCUAGACCCGCUGGCCAAACCCAGAACACCCAGAAAGAGGUUACGGCUUUGGGGGAACAGGAAGGGGACAAACCGGUAAAGGAGGAACAGGACGUAGAAGGUGAGGAGGAAGAGGAGGGGGCCGUGCAGAGGCCCUGGAAUUUGAGGCCUAGAAGAGGACCUGCUUGCUCUACCAAAAAUGGGGUGUUGCAGGAGAUGUUCGGCGGCGACUGUGGAGCUCAAGAGGGGAAGCAGAGAGCGGGUAGCAUGGAGCCCAAAUCGAUGAGACUCAGGGGAUUAGCAGCGGAAUCAGCAGGCGCGGCGGGAGGUGACAGGAAAAAGGAGAAGUUGAAGUUUUGGAUUUCGCUCUCGAGGGACGAGAUUGAGGAAGACGUCUUCAUCAUGACGGGUUCCAGGCCGGCCCGCAGGCCCAAGAAACGUCCCAAGAUUGUGCAGAAACAGCUCGAUAAUGUUUUUCCUGGAUUGUGGUUGGUGGGAAUGACGGCUGAUUCUUAUAGAGUUGCCGAUCCUCCUGUUAAGAAGUAUUUUCAUAUGUCUCUUGAUGCCUGUGAGCUGGUACUGGAACUCUAAUCUUGCUUCUUGCAGAUAUAGAUCUGCUCACCUAUACUCGGGUUUCCUAAUACUGAGAGAUAGAUAUGGUGGUGAUACAUUUGGAGUAGCUAGGAGAGAAAGGAAAGCGGCUUCUAGAGCAGUGAGACCUCAAUUUUAGGUAUAAUGAAAUGGAUUCUGUAAAAAGGAAAAGAUGUCACUCAUAAGGAAAAAAAAGUAAAUAUGAAAAAAAUAUAUAUUGUCUCUUUUGUUUUCCAUUUGAGUUGCACAAAAGGGUAGGAACGCAGGACAGAGUAGAAUUUAUUUAUCCUUGUUGGCAAUUUUCAGAUGUAAGACAUGCAUGACAGAAAUUUGGAUGAACAGAUGAAUUUCCAAUGGUUUUUUUUUAAUCUCCAGUUCCGUGUGAAUGGUAAUGUUAUCUCUCGAGAA